GAUGAACGCUGGCGGCGUGCCUAAUACAUGCAAGUCGAGCGAACAGAUGAGGAGCUUGCUCCUCUGACGUUAGCGGCGGACGGGUGAGUAACACGUGGAUAACCUACCUAUAAGACUGGGAUAACUUCGGGAAACCGGAGCUAAUACCGGAUAAUAUAUUGAACCGCAUGGUUCAAUAGUGAAAGACGGUUUUGCUGUCACUUAUAGAUGGAUCCGCGCCGCAUUAGCUAGUUGGUAAGGUAACGGCUUACCAAGGCAACGAUGCGUAGCCGACCUGAGAGGAUGAUCAGCCACACUGGAACUGAGACACGGUCCAGACUCCUACGGGAGGCAGCAGUGGGGAAUCUUCCGCAAUGGGCGAAAGCCUGACGGAGCAACGCCGCGUGAGUGAUGAAGGUCUUCGGGUCGUAAAACUCUGUUAUUAGGAAAGAACAAAUGUGUAAGUAACUAUGCACGUCUUGACGGUACCUAAUCAGAAAGCCACGGCUAACUACGUG
rnacentral:rRNA from 1 species